GAGUAAGCCUACGUUAAUGCCAACUUUUAGCGCACGGCUCUCUCCCAAGAGCCAUUUCCCUAGACCGAAUAUAGGAAUCGUAUUCGGUCUCUUUUU
rnacentral:sRNA from 1 species